rnacentral:tRNA from 1 species
AAAAAGGUAAGCUAAUUAAGCUUUUGGGUUCAUACCCCGACUAUAAGGAUCUUCUUUUCUUUUUA